rnacentral:rRNA from 1 species
CCUACGGGAGGCUGCAGUGGGGAAUUUUGGACAAUGGGGGCAACCCUGAUCCAGCCAUGCCGCGUGAGUGAAGAAGGCCUUCGGGUUGUAAAGCUCUUUCGGCCGGGAAGAAAUCGCUCAAGCUAAUACCUUGGGUGGAUGACGGUACCGGAAGAAGAAGCACCGGCUAACUACGUGCCAGCCGCCUCGGUAAUACGUAGGGUGCGAGCGGUAAUCGGAAUUACUGGAGGUGGAGCGUGCGCAGGCGUGGGAAAUCCCCGGGCUUAACCUGGGAACUGCGUGUGUGACGGUGGUGCUCGAGUGCGGCAGAGGGGGGUGGAAUUCCACGUGUAGCAGUGAAAUGCGUAGAGAUGUGGAGGAACACCGAUGGAGAAGGCAGCCCCCUGGGUCGACACUGACGCUCAUGCACGAAAGCGUGGGGAGCAAACAGGAUUAGAUACCCCGGUAGUC